CCAAUUUCAUGAGACGGUGCUGCUACAUUAUCCUGCCUUCUUGCAUGAGGAAUUCAAGGCCACAUGCGGUUUCGUCACUUGUCAAAGUGGCAGUGUGGAACCGAGGUCUACAGUGGCUGCUGAGGUCAGACUUGAAGAAAUGACUCACAUGCAAGGCUGAUCUACAUAAGUAGCCUGUGCUAAGACUGCCAUUUGGUAGAACAAUCUACAUCACAAGACUCCACAUUUCCUGUUACCCAAGGACUUGGCAUCUGAGAUAAUUCUAACAUGAAACUGGCAUCUUCAGUUUGCUCCUGUCAUAAGUAGAGCCUGCCAUGAAUCCUAUCUCAGACGACAGAUUUUUUCAGUGAAAGAGUAACAGAACAGAGCCUCAGUGACCGCAGAGGAGGAAGGAGAAGAAAAUUCUACUUGCUCAUGAAGACUCAAGACCUGCUCAGGGCAACUAGAAAAUUCAGCCCUGGUGAAGCCAAGAUAAUCUAUGGGCCAAGAACAUGCAGAGAUUGUAUUUUACAUUGUAUCUGAGACACAGAUGCUCUGCUCAUAAACAUUCCUCAUGCCUUCUUCAAGCUGUCCAAGCAAAACAUGAUUUGCUUUUAAAUUUGAAUAUCUUUAAAAAUUAACAAAUUUAAGACUGUCCUAUCUCAAUCUCCCACAUACUAGGAUGGUGGAUGUGUGCCACCUUCCCUGGCAGCAGGUGGGCGCCACCUCUUCCGGCCAUGACGUAACAUGUUUAACUGACUCCUUCUUCAGCAUCUCCAUGCUCUGCAGGUGCAGCUUCGAUGGACCAUGGCGAUAUUGCCCCAUGACUAUCAAUCACACUGAGAUGUAGUCCACACAUCCAGCAAGCCACCACUCAUGGGAUAGGGGUUAGGCAAAAGGAACAACUAAGACAGUAGAGGAGCCCAGCACUCUGAACCCCUAACCAUGCCUUUGGUGGAUUCCUUUGGUAAAGUUUUCCUUUGUGGGUUUCUUUCAGCACUUGACCCAUAGCCCAUGGAAUGUGUCAGCUCUAAUUGCCUGUGUGGAUUGGCACAAGUCGUGCCUCAAAAUUGGAAUGUUGUCACAUAUAACAUAGCCUUUCAGAGGGAUAAAUGUGGAAAAUGUUUUACCCAUGAAUUCCUUAGGAGCAAUUGUGCUCUAUCACGUGAAAGGCUGAGGACCUGGACAGAGCCUAAUGACUAUAUCCCCAAGAUCCCCAAGGUUCAGUGGCUUUCAGGAUGUUGCUCUCCCUGACUCCAUGGACAUCACAGAAUGACAGUUGUCCACUGGAGUAUUCUUCACCCAGGCAGCUUUCUAAAAGAAGGAAAUUUGAGAGUUGCAAGGACAGAUGAGGGGGGUGAGGGCCUGGGAUCCCUUUAUGUGAAACUCGUUAUUGAAGAACAACUUAUACAAUUAUUAUCUGAGGACCAGGUGACAGCUGUCAAGAAGGCCUCCUUGUAAGAGGGUGCAGAAUAUAUGAAAUUUGUCUUUAGGGAAUGAUCUACUACUAAGAGUGAUGCUAUGAGGUUGGCAUCUAAGGAAAAGAAAAGAGGCUGGCAUAUGUUGAGCACCUAGUCUGUGCCAUGAAUUGUGAACUUAACCUUGAAUUCUCAUAUGUUCAUCUAAGGUCUGUUUUCUUUAAGGAGAGAAUGUGACCCUCUUGGUCUGGUGGGCAAGCUGUGAUGAAUGCAGAGCUCUUCAGAUGGAUCAACCCUUUCCUUACUCACUCUACAGCUAUCCUCACCAGACAGACAGACACACAGACAGACAGACAGACACAGGUAGAAGGACAUGCAUUUGGACCAAACACUACAGCAAAGUAGCUCAAAGAUCAUUUCAUACAUCAUAGAUUCAGAUAACUUUCUUCUUUUUACAUAAAUAACUCUAAUUUAAAAUACACAGUCAAACACCAACAUGUUGUUACCAAAAACAAAACAAAACAAAAAAAACCACUAUAAUAUUAUUUGGGGACCCUAAUCUUGUCAAUGAAUCUGUUUAAUUUUGGAGGUAAAAUUAGCCAGGUUUUGAGAUUGAGCUGACUAAUCACAAAACCAGAACUUUCCAUCAGCUGGGGAGGGGCAGUUAAUAACUGCCUCGGGGGGGGGGCGUGGUGGAGAGGAAGGUCUCUCUUUGCAAGACGUUAGCAUGAGAAUUCCCAUGCCAAACGAAGGCCCACAGGAAAUGCCUAGUUGUGGUGAUGACUCCCAGACAGCCCUGCUCGUCAGACCUCCAUUCCAAUCUCUUUUUGGCGCCACCAUGUGAAGAAAUUGUUUUUGUCCUAGGCUACAUCUUUUUGGGAAAAUAGCAGACCGUGAGCUUCUAAACAUCUCAUGAUUGAUAGUUGACAUUUUUCCCAAGAGAUUGGGCCAGGCUCCCAUCAGGGAAUGGGUUGGAGGCAAAAGAGAAUCCUUUAGAGACCUGCAACCUUGCAUUUGGAGAGCUAGGCAGGGACACACGCAUCUCCUACUUUACAAAUAAAGCCAAGAUGACUGGGAUUCUUGAACAAAUGAGCAUGGGACUCCUAGUAUGAGGAAUUAUUGAGUAUCCAUCUUCUGCUUGAAAGUCUUGGGAGUCUUUCAGAUACUUGUAGUCACAGGAAAUCCUCUCUCACUAAAAUGGUCUUUAUGUUUGUGGC